rfam:Exophiala spinifera strain CBS 89968 unplaced genomic scaffold supercont1.4, whole genome shotgun sequence.
CCAUGAUGAACUCUUCUAGAUGACGAGUCUUAUUCAGUCCACUGAUGCAGACAAACACAAACUACCAUUCAUGCAUUUCCUGAAC